UGCUUCGCGCCAGACUUUCGACACACCUCGCCUCGACAACGGCAGCAGACGACGUUACUCACCUCCACCUCCACUUUUCCCAGCCAAUUCCGACCAUCGACAAACUCAGCACGACGCAACUUCGACCAUUGAAUUUUCGAAAGGUUCAGCGAUCACCCACUCUUUGGGGUUUAGGGUUUGGGGCAAGAAUCCACGUGCGUAUCACUCUUUCUAACUAUUUGAAGGUUCCUUGGAUGCUUGAAACUCUCCGUUGGUUUCAGAAGCCUCCGAACACAUUUUUUGCAAAAUCCAAGACUGGUUAACUUUUACAACUCGGUUUGGACCUUUUCGAGUUAUGUUUAGAUGCUGUUAUUUAGUCAUUAUUAUUGAGUAUUUGUUUGAACUUGUUUUAAGGUGUUCGGACUGACUUAAAGAUUAGUGUUAUGAAUACUUUUAAUGCUCUAAUGAAGUAAGUGUACCCUUGGGUACCUUCCUUUAUUAUUUUAGGAGCUCUUUGACUAGUUUAAAAAUAGUUUUGAACAGAAUAUCAGUUGUGUUACUUUGAAAUUUAUGAUGCCUUUUGAUAUGAUUGUGUGCUGGCUUGUUGUAUUGAGGUGUUUGUAUGUAGUUUAUGAACUGGAACAUGUCGCUAAAAUAUUGUUUACUGAUAAAUGUUCAAUGUUGAAAUGAUAAGGUUGUCUUAGUUAAGUAGGUGUAUGUUGUGUGACUAUGCUCACAGAGGAAGGUAGUUGGGUGAGUUUUAGAAAGGCAUCAAGACCUUAAGUAUGGUUAAGACCAACAAUGUCUUACCGUUCUAUCAUUUUCUAUUAUCGAUCUUGAUUGAUUUAUUAUGUUAUUUUCUUUUCAUUGUGCAAAGAAUCAUUCUCCCUUUGAAAGCAAGAUGGCACUAAGGGCAGCCUAUGAUGCCUUUGAGCAAUCCCUUGCCGGUGUUGGCAUAAAUGAGAAUGGAAUAGUGAAGACGAUAACGGAUGAAUCAAGAAUUGUGGAAACGUUGACGAAUUUUGAUGCCGAUGAGUACAGACUUAUGAGUUCAAAUUUCAAAUAUGACCAAUCGCUUGGGUACAUUUGGAAGGAAAAAAAAAGACAAUCAAUGAAACUCGAAUUCCAGCGUAUUAUGAAUGUCACGAUGUUGUGGAUGACCACUCCUAUAGAACGUGAUGCACGCCUUUUAAGGAGUGCACUUAAAAUGGGUGACGCUGCAGGCGUUUCAGUCUUGAUUGAAAUAGUGUGCACAAGGCCGUUUGCUGACUUUUUGGCAAUAAAGUAUCUGUAUGGGAAACUUUUUAAAAGUGAUCUUCUAUUCGACUUGGACCAACAUGUACCUGGUAAAGCAGUGAGAUGUUUGAUAAAUUUAUUUAGUAUUGAAAGACGUCAAGACAUAAUCAAAGGUGAGGAGAAAUGUUUGCGCAAAGAUAUUACUACGUUACAAAAUGCAACUUCAGGGGAACCUCAAACCCGUAUUUGUAUCAAACAUAUUGUAAGUAUACUGACCCAAAGAAGUAUUGGUCAUCUUCGCAACAUGUACCGAUUUUGCCAACCAGAAAUGAGGCGGCAGCCCAAAUCUAGCUUAUGGAUUUCUACAACAUUCCUUUGUCUUGUCGAUCCGAUUGAGUAUUUUUAUCAAGUACUCUCUAAUUCGAUAGAUAGUUCUCCUUCACUUGUAACCGAUAUAGAUGACCACCAGAAUGAGGAUUGCAUUGAAGAUGACCACCAAGAUGAGGCUUCAUUACACUGUCUUGAUUCCAUUAGUAGAAUUAUCAUGACAAGGCGUGGCGUUGAUCUUGAUGAGAUCAAUACAAAGUUUAGGAUGUUUGAUGAAUUGUCACUCCAAGACAGAAUUAAACUUUAUUGCAAAGGAACAUAUCAGAAGCUGUUACUCGAGCUGUUGUUGAAUGUGAAUAUCCUUGGGAGUGAAGCCGAAAGUAGUAGGAUUUGACAUGUUCGGACACUAACCAAUGGGAGUUAUCGUUUUGGGCAAGAAUCCGUGGUGCUCCUUCAGGUCGUGAUCAGGAGGAAGAGCAUGCUGUUGCUGAGGAGGAAGAGCAUGCUGUGGGUGAGGAGGAAGAGCAUGCUGCUGAGUUUUGAGGUUACGUGGGAGGUUAUAAAUUUAUGCUGAGGUUCCUAUUGGUGAGGAGGAAGAGCAUGCUGCUGAGUUUUGAGGUUACGUGGGAGGUUAUAAAUUUGCUAGUUUAGAGUGUUAAAUUUGAGGGGCAAAACAAAUUUUGGACCAAUAGUUAGAUUUGUUAAAUGUGGAGUUUGCUUGAGUUUUGCUGCUAUGGCUUAAUUUGAAUCAUUUGACUUGAUUUGAAUAAUUUGAAUCAGAGUUUUGCUGCUCUGGCUUAACUUGAAUCAGUUUAUUUUCCCACGAUGAUGAAAAAAAUGAGUCUUUUGAUGAUGAAUCACAA